UGAAACUAAAUGUUGGCCACUUUGUGACUGUGCAGCUGAAUUAUCACACAAAAUGUGGACGACCACAACGGCAAGCUGAUGCAGGGAGGCAACAUCAGGCCCCUUCUCAGCCCCCCUCCCCUUCCCAGUCCCCCUCAGCUUCCCAGUCCCCCUCAGCUUCCCAUUCCCCCUCAGCUUCCCAGUCCCCCUCAGCUUCCCAGUCCCCCUCAGCUUCCCAGUCCCCCUCCCCUUUCCACUCCCCUUCUCAGCCCACCUCUCCUUCUCUUUCUGUGCCCCCUUCUCCUCCUUCCCAGUCUCCUUCUCCUUCCAACUCCCCUUCUCAGCCCCCCUCACCCUCAAUUGGACAAACAUUCUCUCCGCCCCAAACAUUCUCUCCGCCCCCCUCGCCCUCUCAAUCAGACCCACCCUCAGAAAAUACAUCCCCAAUCCCUCCUCCUUACCCCAUCUCUCCUCCUUCCCCAAUCCCGCCUCAUUCCCCCAUCCAGCCUCCUUCCCCCAUCCCUCCUCCUUCCCCAAUCCCUCCUCCUUCCCCCAUCCAGCUGCCUUCACCACCCAGUGAAUGGGCAGAAGAAGCCCCUGAUGGACUCAGUGGUGAGCAUCAUGUUGCAGAGGAAAAUGUUGCAGUUGGAGAUCCCACAAGUUUUGGGGGCAUUCUGGAAAACAUGCGCCAACACCUGCAU